rnacentral:rRNA from 1 species
GACGAACGCUGGCGGCGUGCUUAACACAUGCAAGUCGAACGGUGAAGCGCCUUCCUUUUUGGUGGGUGUGGAUGAGUGGCGAACGGGUGAGUAACACGUGAGUAACCUGCCCCCUUCUUCUGGAUAACCGCAUGAAAGUGUGGCUAAUACGGGAUAUUCUGGGUCUGUCGCAUGAUGGGUCUGGGAAAGAUAUUGUUUCGGUGGGGGAUGGGCUCGCGGCCUAUCAGCUUGUUGGUGGGGUGAUGGCCUACCAAGGCGGUGACGGGUAGCCGGCCUGAGAGGGUGGACGGCCACACUGGGACUGAGACACGGCCCAGACUCCUACGGGAGGCAGCAGGGGGGAAUAGUGCACAGUGGGCGCAAGCCUGAUGCAGCGACGCCGCGUGAGGGAUGGAGGCCUGCGGGUUGUGAACCUCUUUCGCCAGUGAAGCAGGCCUGCCUCGUUUGUGGGUGGGUUGACGGUAGCUGGAUAAGAAGCGCUGGCUAACUACGUG